ACCAUUUAACUUGGAAAGGUUUAGACUGCCCUAAGAGCACAGCAGCGAAACAGUGUGCUCUGGUGCUCGGAUGACCUUUUCUGUUUAAGGCUUAAUCUCUGACAAAUGCUUGCUUUAAUUAGCCUGAUACCCCCUACACAGACCCCCAUCCUUCCCAGCCCCUCUUUUUCUUUCUGUUUCUGUCUCACACACAGUCUGCACUGGCCUCUGGUUGUCCAGUGCUUUAAAUUUCCCACCCAAUUUAGCUAUUAGUAAAUUGUCAAUUUCAAAUAAAAUAAAUCAACUUCAGCUAAAAAUUUGAAGAAUGAAAAUGAAAGUUUAUAAAACCUGCUGAAUUUUUGUCAUCUUUCAGCAGAGACAUCAAGGACGUUAAAAUACAUCUGAAUUUGUUGUCAGUCUGUACAGUUACCAGCUUUUUACAAGAAAGAAAAUAGCAAAGACAGAUUUGAAUUGUUCCAAGCCACCCUUGGAGGUUUGAAACAACAUGUGAUAUGAACCAGCUCACUUUUUGAUCAGCCUUGAGACAGAGAAUGGAAGAGAAGUGUGUUUAGGUGCAUGCAAUUGAAAAAAAAAAUUCCUGGGGUUCUUACAAACGCAUUAAAAGCCUCCAUAGUUUGUACAUGAGCUGCUCUAAAUAGAUUUAAGGAAUAAAUCAUUGAAAAAUAAUUUAAUGAACAGAAUCCACAAAAUAAAAGAAAGUUGCUGCAGAUCUUUUUCAGAUUUCAAAUUUGAAAGAGAAAAGAGCUUUUAACAGAUUUUGCUGAUUUCUCUCCACAGUUCAAAUUUUAUCCUCUCAACGUUUCAUCCAGAUACUGCAGCCCAUCAUGAAUCUCUCUCACUGCAGCAGCAAACACAAGAAACAGGGAUGCAAAGCUACAAAUCCAUGUUUUAUUGGAAAGGGGCCUAAUUAUUAGGAUGUAAGUCAGGCUGUGACUUGAGGGCCGUCUCCAUUCGCAGGCCUGCUUUAUAUUUAUCCCCUCGUCUGCAGCUUCAGCAGCAGUGCCACCAUCACUACCAGCAGAGUGUGGCGCUUUUAUUACAUCGCCCACAGGCAGGUUCAGCCCUUUCAGUCACACAUACACACACACACACACACACAGCCUCCAGGACAGGCAGCCACUUGAGUCCCCUCCACAGCAGUUACCCCACAUCCCCACGCAGCCCCACAUGGGCCCUUGGGACUGCAGAGGGAGGUUGCGGGUAUUAUGGUAAUACCAGAGCCUGCUGCUCCCUUCCCCUCUUCAGCUGCACAGCUGGGAAGGGCCAUCAUUACAGUAUUGUAGCACUCUGUUUAAGAGAGACACAUUGGAGUGGUCGGGUGACAGAGAGAGGAUGAGUGCUGCAUACAUAGAUCACAUAAAAUAUGAUUAAAAUGUGUGAUGGGGGCAGGAAUAAAAUGCAAAACUUGUUAUGAACACCUUAUAUCAAGUCUACUGUCAAAAUGGUGAGUUGUAAAUCUUUAUUUUCGCCAUUUUACUUUUUUUUAUUUUAUCAAAGGUUCCUUGUGUUGGGUUGGCAAUAUCUCAAGAAAGGGAGGCCCAUGGCUCAUAAGGAAUAAAUACCACAUAAAGUAUGUGAAUCUCUAAUGCCUCAUAAUGCUUCGCAAAUCAGUGGUGCAGUUUGUCAAGUUGGAAAUCUGUCAGAGAGAGAGAGAAAUCACGUCAUCUUUUGACACGUGACAGCACUGAUUUGAUGGUCAAAAUGCCACCUUUUUAUGAAAAAAAUAAUAUUUAUGCCACAGAUUUAGCCCACACUGUAGUCGUUAACUCCACACAUGUUUUUAAUGGGACUUUAAUUACAACACGUUAAUGACAUCAAGAAUAAUCCAAAUAAACGGCCCUCUUCUCUAUUAUGGUGGAUUAGAUCUUUGACAGAUUAGUCAAUCCCUCACUGUCGGAUUAUGCUGUCAAAAGUCAUCCAUCUACCUUUAGUAUUUCAGAGCAGAAACGGACACUGUGAGUCAGAGGCUUCCUCCGACUCGAUCUUUGUCACAGCAUUUUUGGGAAACAGAGGUAUCCAUUACAUUUUCUCGUCUGCUCCAUUUGCCCACAUCUCUUUCUAUUUUCAGUUCUGUUUUGAGUAGAAAGUUUGAUUGAUAAAGUAGAGACUUACAGCUGGAACAGAAAUGAAAGAUUUUUGAAUUUAACAAGGAUGAACCAUUAAAAAUGCAUAUUAUCUCAUUAUUCUUGCUGCCAAAUAACUGAAAAUGAUCUGCUCAAUAAGAUGGAAAAUGGAUUUUGCUUGUUUUCUCUCUCUGACCCGACAGAGGACACAUGAGGAGGAAAUAAGGGAGGGAGGAGACUGAUCGUUUAAAAAAAACUGCUCUAGUGCACUAAUGUCUGUGAAACCUGAGCUCAUAUUGGAUCUGAAGGACAACAUAAGACGAGCCUUCCCCGCUGCACUCCCUCUGUUUAAAGGGAUUGCUUUCAUUCAGGGAAGGAGAGGCAAAAAAGCCUUCCAGCAGAGCCCAGUCCAGCUCAGUUCUUCUUCCUGUGAGCCUGUCCCCUCGUCUCUGCCGCCAGGCCAGUUCACCGACCCUUCCUGCAGAGCGGCUGCCGGUUGCCAGGUAGUCCCGGCCGGACAGACGGUUUUCCUGGAGAUGAAGAGACGAGCUUGACAGUUCUGCGCUACACCUGCAAUCAUGCUUUGAGGUCUUGACCUUCCUAAAACAGAGGCACUCAAGCAUUCAGGAAGCUCAGGCAGCAAGAAUGAAGACACCCACAAAACGCUUCACCACACAGGAACAGGCUGGACCCACCUCCCUGUGUUCAUGGUUCCUGAACUGUAUCAUCCUGUGCUCUCUUGCAGGACCAAAUACUAGGAGUCAAUUAAAAUCACAUGAGAAUCUAAUUAGGGACCUCUUUGUGCAGCAGACCUGGAGGUAAAGUCAUUGGGGAGCAACUCUGCCAAGACCCUGACACUCGGAGAACACACUCUGUAAAUUAAUAGAGAAUGACCAAGAAGGAGCUCUGUGACUGACUUGGACCUCAGCUUCCUCGGAGGCAAAACGUUCAGGGCUGAUUGCUCUCAUUAAAUGUGUUAUAGCAGUGUAAUUAUAAUAUGUCUGGCAAACGGGAUGACUCUCAGUUUGUGGCUAGCUUGGACUGUUUGGAAAAGUUUAAUAUUCACGCGUGACGUUAAAAUGAGACCAGGAGGGAGAAAAAAUGUUCAGCUGACGUUUUCUAUUUUUUAUAUAUAUAUAUUUUUAACAUCCUUAUGUGAGCAAUAGUGAAGCAUUUUAAUCAGAUGUAAAAUGACUGAUCAUUUUGCUUUUAUCGUUUGAACUAAAGUAGAGUUGAACAGACUUUCAUGCUAUAAUUAGGCUGAUAAUAACAUUGGUUGAAUUAUUGCACUUUUGUUAUUCAAGUCUUUUCUGCACUGGUUGUCAGAUGAGAUAUUAGCGUGGACAUAUUUCUUAUUCUGGCAGCAGCACAGUGACUGAUAUCAUUUAAAUUACACCUCCUUGGGCAGAGUCUUCGGAAAUACUUUGUAGGUGGGAAUUUAUCACAAAAUGAUGUGAAGAAAAUGAGGAACAUCUUGAUAACAAUAGCAAAAAAGGCCUUUAUUUUGUAGAAAGGUGACUUAUUUUGUUUAGAGCAAACCGGUCACAACAAAGGUGUGACUUGAGUUAGCGCAAAAGUAAGCUCUACAAACACAAUCCAACAAAGAAGGUCAAAAAAUGACAUAUUUAUGAUUGUUUUUGUUCCACGUUUUAGAUACAGUCUUCAUCUACCAUAGUUAAUAAUCCAGAUGUAUACAAACAUUAAUUAAUUAGCUGCCAGGAGCAAUUAUUGCAUACUAUCUGCAAAUCUCAUCAUUGGCACCUCCCAAAUAUUUCAUUUUGCCAAAAAUGUAAAAGCCGAUGUUGGGGUUGAAUUACUGUACAACAAUACUAAACUCCAGACCUCCAGACAAUAACACAGUAUGACAUCUAAAGAUGUGAAAAUUCUGCUUCACUGGCAUAAUGUCUUUGAGCUCAUCAGCACACUUGCAACAUGUCACCUUUGUUGUAAUGGUCUAUCACUUGACCUGUUUGUCGUAGGUUUUUACAUGAAGGAAGUUAAUUGAAAUCACAGCCUCUUCUACUAUGUUUAAAACUGGCUGAUGGUUAGCUAUCUGAAUGUGCUUAUAUUUACACUGGCAGGUUCGUUCCGCACCUGGAUUCAUUUCCUUAAAUAUUUCAAAUGAUUUGUUCAGCAAGUGUGAAAGCUCACCUGGACUCCAGAACUGAAGUGCACAUCAAACAAGCAAACCUGGUACUCUUGAAAGCGCGAUUCUUGGUUAAAGACUGGGAGUGCAGAAGUGAACAAGAAGGCAGUAAAUGGCAGAGAGCCCAAUUAAUAACUUGUAGAGGUAAGGUGUAUGUAUGAAAGCAGACCAAACUAGAAAAAAGUAAGAAAGCUAUCAACAUCUGAGUCCUCUGUAGUAAGAUGAAAGCAAUCUAGAGAGCAGGAAGCAAGGCUUCUUUGAAUGUUUUCUCCUAACAUUAUACUAUAUUUUGUUAUUAAUAGAAGACAACCUAUAGCCUUGCAUGGAUAAAAUUUAAUUUGUUUUGAAUUGUUUCCCUCAGGGCUUAUCUGGUCUUUGGUAAAUCCUGAAGGAAAGAAUUGAUUUGGGAAUUUUUUAAACAAAGGUUUUACCGUUAGUUACAGUAUAUCAGGUUUAAACAUAAGCAAGAAGGCCCCCAGUUCAAGUCCUGGCUGGUGUACCUAAAACAGAACAUUAACCGGGAACCUUUCUGUGUGGAAUUUUCAUGUUCUCCCCAUGCGUGGGUUUUCUCCCACCGUCCAAAAAUAUGCUUCAUAGGUUCAAUGGUUACUCUAAAUUGUUCCUAGGUGUGAACGGGAGAGUGCAUGGAUGUGUGAUUUGUGGCCCUGCGACAGACUGGCGACCUGUUCAGGAUGUCCCCUGCCUUCGCCCACGAAUGGCAGGGGACAUCCUCCAGCAGCCUUGAGACCCCAAAAGAGACAAAACAGGUUUAGUAGAAGAAUGAAUGAUGGUUUAAAUAUUGGUAACAUGUGAAACCCUUGUCCACAUUCAAAGCAAUUCCAAGCUGUAAGCUGAAAAAAACUGUGUAACAAUGAAAAUUAGCCAGGAUCAAAGCAUGCAGUAGCUGCUUGAACUCCUGCUGCCUCUCACUCUCUGCCCUGCCUUCUGUCUCCCUCUGCAGUGACAGCUGUGGCCUUUGAGUUUGGUUUUGUUAUCACUUCAGCUUCACAUUUUCAAACGCAGGCCAUUACCGUAAUCUUUCUAGGUAUUCUGUCACAAUGACGGACAACUGCAAUGACACUCGUAGAGGUUGCAGGGUUGAUUUCUCAUAAUGCAAUACAGAGGAAUGUCAACAACACCCUUUAACUCCAUGGAAUUUAAAGCCAGGGGCUAAAAUUAUAUUUUUUUUAUGGCUCACAUUCUCAAGUAUUUUACAAUGAGAUGCUGCAGUGUAAACUAUGCUAUACGUUCUAACCUGACUAUAUUGCUGCAGUUGCAGAAGAAUGUUAGACCCACAUUCACUCUUGAUGGCAAAACAGUUCAUUGUAAAAUCUUGUUUCGAUAAUGCAUUGUGGACCACUGUAGGCCUGCACAGAUGAGCGGCUGCACUGGUGGCCAAAAGUGCAUCGUUUUCAUUCCCAACAAACCCAUUCUGCUCACCUUUGAAAUGCCACUAUAUUGUUUUCAUGCCUCAUGUAAGCACAGAGUUAUUCUACACAUUAAACUAACUUUAACUCCGCACCUAUGGACCACAUUUCCACAGCAUUAUUCAUAUAUAUCUUAAAUGAAUGUGUUAUAGGUUUACACAAGCCUACAAAAGAACAAGGGUUUACGUCUUAGUUGUUAACUAAUCCACGAUCAGUCUAUUGGCUAAUUUUUCCACUGCUAGCUAGUGAGUCUGACCCACAAUAAGUUCAAGUUUUCCAAGUGACCCUGAAUGGAUCUGUGAAACCUUAAUUUACCACUACAUUACAGGAAAACUUAAAUUUCAAAACGAACGGACAAAAAGAAACACGAGGCAACUUCAUACUAAAUCCACAACAUAUCAGACAUUUUACCACAGAGAAACCACAGCUUCCUAAAGUAUCCAAAAAUGAAUUACAUUGUAGAUUAUCAUGUAAUUAUGGAUCUUUCCAAAGACUGAUAGAGCUGGAAAAUUGAGUCCUGAAUAUUUCAUAAUGCAUACCAUCAUUGUGGGGGGAAAUUAUUUAGGGAUAGCAUGCUCAUUUGCAGAAUGGAUAAAGGUUCAUUGCAAGUCACCAGAGUGCUGUAAUUGGAAAGCUUCCGUGAUUCAAAGGCGUCAUUCAAAGAUGAGCACGUCUACUGGGUAACUGCACUCAGUACACCAUUAAUCCUCAAUCACACAACCAAAAACUAUCAGCAGCCGUCCAGACCUAUAAAGCAGCUGCCACAAUUCCUUACUUGUGUCAGUUAUAAAUCAUGCACAUGGAUGAGAUAAAAAUUAAGAUUUUUUUUGCAGAUGAGUCUUGGCAUCCUUCCUGCCCCUAUUAUAGUGAAAUGAGUUAAGAAUGUAAAUUAUUUACACAUACUGUACCUUUUAAUGAAGCACACUUGUACACAGUGUGCUACACUGUUCAUAUGUAUAAAUCUUCAUCAGACAAUUAUAAUACAUAUCAUGACACAACACAAAAACCACCUGGGAAAAACAAACAACUUAAGCCUGGAUAGAUUACUUACAGGAAUACUCUUACUGCGUUGCAUAAGUAUAAUUUUGUCGCCUGUAGGAAACAUAUGAAGAAACGCCAGAUUUGACAAAUGUAAUCUUUAAAAGGCAAAUCUAAAUGUCAGAGAGACAGAUACUUUACACAUAUAGAGCACUGCCUUCUGGGUGUAACAGAGAAAAGUGUGAGAGUGAUAUUUUUUCCUAGAGGAAAUGAGUUGCAAUUCCUUGUCGUCAUCAAGCAACACGCAGUGUGGAGAGAAGUGCAGAAACUGCUGGGACAGUAGUCAAAAAAACGAUGGACAGACAACAAAAUUAUGUUCUGAUUUUUGGAUUUAAAAAAAUAAAUUACUUGAUUUUAUAUUUUAUUUUAUUGCAAUCAAAUUUGCAUUAUAAGGGCUCCAAUUACCUUCUUCUUCUUUUCAUUUCAGCUUUUACCUUCAGGGGUCACCAGAGCAAAUCAGCUUCAUUCAUCUAACCCUGUCUUCUUCAUCCUCUACUACGACACCAGCCACCUUCAUGUAUUCCUUCAUUGCACCCAUAAACCUCCUCUUUGGUCUUCUUCUAACUAUCUUGCCUGGCAGCUCAAGAUUCAGCAUCCUUCUAUCAAUAUAUUCACUGUCUGUCCUCUGGACAUGCUCCAUUUAACUGUUUACAGUUAAUCUCUGUAGUUACAUGAACUCCUGCUUUCAUUGCACAGUAUUGUAGUUGAUGUAUGAAGUAUACAGAAAAAGUAAGCAUUUACCGGUAGGCAAACGUCUAUAAGGCAACAUUUAUUUUUCUUGUAAACUACGAACUAAUAUGUGGAUUCCAAAAAGUACUUUAAAUUAUUUAAGUUUCACAAGAAAUAAAGAACACGAUGGAGAAUGAUAUGUACUAUUAGAGUAAUAUUAAAUGACUACUUAUUGUUCCAGUCUUUCUAUUUUUGUUCUUUUAUUGGGAAGUUUUGUUCCCAUUUUGGUUGCUUGUUUUGUCUUGAUUGUGUACUACAGUGGUACUGUACAUCAAUAGUUUUCCAUGUAUUCUGUUUCUAUACCCACUUCUUUCCAGCUAAUCGUAAGGGUUGUUUCAGCAAAAUCCAACUUUGUUCUGAUAUUUUCGAAUUUUAAAACAUACCCCCUCCCCCGUGUGUGCUUAAAAAAGCUCAUUUAUGAAUGUAAACAAUGAACCAAAAAGCUAAAAAGCAGGCAUCUCAGUUUUUCCUUGGUAAAAAAUACACAUUCUGUUGCAUCAAGUUAAGACUGAAAAUGUGUCUUGUGCUUUAAAAUCUUUGUGAAAAGUAAAUACUCAUAAUGACUGUAAACCUUCUAUCACCAGCAUCCUGUAAAUGUUGUCCUUUAACACUUUUUGAGCAUUCUGCAAACCAUUUAGAAACAUGUACUUAAGAAAGAUGUUUGUUAUUUGUGAUGCGGUGAGGGCAUAACUAAGGAUAAACUUUUCUCCAAAGAAUAGAAACAGCAUGAUAUGGUUCACCAAAGAUACUUGACAUGAAAAUAUGUAUUGCUCGUUUACGUUGUAGUCUGUUUCUCUCUGUAUUGCCUUUGAUCACUGCUCUCAUCCAGAAGAUGGCGGAUAUCAAGUAAGAGAAACCAACUAAAGUGAUGUGUUUAGCUUUUGCCAUCAA